UUUGAUACAGACAGAAGUAAAUAUUUAGUUGUGACAUAUAAACUAGCUUCAUACGCCCGCUUGCGGUGUGCACAUAUAAUGUAUAUAUGUGUGGGCGCUUAGGAUGUAAAAGUGAAAUUGCACUAAUUUUAACGUUAUUUUACUAAUUUCGUAGAAAUAACGUUAAAAGCGGCGGACGGUUAAUCAUGCAUCAUGUAAUGGCGUUGAUAGCCGAAACACAUGGGGGUACAUGUACCAAUCAGUCUUUGUCCCGAUUGCUAAGUGUUAUAUGCCUGAUGUAAUGGCGUUGAUAGCCGAAACACAUGUACUAAUUAGUCUUUGUCCCGAUUGCUAAGUGUUAUAUGUCUGAUGUUAAAGUCUUGAUGCAAAACUACUAUCUAGUAGAGGGUCUCACUGUAAGCAGCCUCUCUAUUCCUACAGGGUAGAGGUAAGGCUGUCUAAAUCUUACCUUCCUCAGAGGCUACCUUUGGUUUUGCUAUUGGUAGAAUUUACUGGUAUGGUAUGAUGAUGAUGAUAUAAAGUAGCUUCAAAACAUAAAUGAAAAAAUGUUUUUAUUUUAUUUUAUUUUAAAUGUCACAUGGGGUAUUUUAAAGAGUUGUCUCACUCACUCUGUAUCCUUACUUUUAAUGCGGGUGUGGGACUAUAUUGUCUUGUUGUGGGAGAAUAAGUGUAUGCUAGGACUGGGAUGCGGGCAAUCGAAUCGUGUGGAUAGUUUACGCCGUACGGAUAGCGUUAAGAAAAGCUGGGGAUAAGGUGAAAGGAGCAGCUUUCGCUAGUGAUGCAUGACCCUCAGGUGUGGUUCGUGAUGUGGAACGGGGUGCAGACGUGGAGGGGGACCCCGAAGAGGAACACACCCGCUACUCCCUCGACCCAACGCCCAUUCGUAUACAACACGACACCGAUGGAUCUGUUUACAUUUGGCGGUUUUAGUUAAUUUCAAAACCCUUGGCAAAUGCAAUACAGAUAACAUCACCAUGCUAUGCAAAUGCAAUCAUAAGGCCUACAAACGCUGUCGUUCCAACCGUUGACUAAAACAGCACCCCAGCACGAUUUCGUUUCUUUAGCCGCGGAUGACGAUGUCAUACCCGAAACACAACCACAAACCACGAAGACUAAGAAGGGGAAAAACGAGCUCUAAGAGAUUAAGAAAAGGGAAGCAGGAAGGCGGAUAGCAUUCCUUAGAACCCGGACGAGUUGGAAGCGCUUGCACGGGCUUGGGUAAAGCUUCUAUCGAUCCGAUUUUAGGUAUACUUUUUUAAUUUUAUUUUUAAAUAAAGUAUUAACUAGUAUUUUGACCCGCCGCGCGUUGCGGCGGCGUCGAAAGUUAAAGUAACUCGAAUUUAUACUGUAUAUUUGACCCCACUUUUUACUUAAAAAAAUUACAUCGCCAUCAAAUGAAAACGUA